rnacentral:rRNA from 1 species
GACAGAGGGUGCAAGCGUUGUUCGGAAUCAUUGGGCGUAAAGCGCGCGUAGGCGGUUUUGUAAGUCGGACGUGAAAGCCCAGGGCUUAACCCUGGAAGUGCAUCCGAAACUGCAGAACUUGAGUACCGGAGAGGGUGGUGGAAUUCCUGGUGUAGAGGUGAAAUUCGUAGAUAUCAGGAGGAACACCCGUGGCGAAGGCGGCCACCUGGACGGUCACUGACGCUGAGGCGCGAAAGCGUGGGUAGCAAACAGG